rnacentral:tmRNA from 1 species
GGGGAUGUAAUGGUUUCGACGGGGGACGCGACCCGUGAUAAGCGAGCGGCGGUGCGGAACCGCCAUAAAAUCCGCAAACUUAAAAUAACUGACAAAAGAACAGUUGCUUUAGCUGCUUAAUGCAGCUCGUCUCUGCGCAGAGCACCCCGGCUGCGUAAGAGGCGUCGACCAGGGGUAAAGGUGAACAGAGCAGCGCUUCGGGCUCUGUCAUCCACAAGAAGCUACUGAACCGGUAAGCCUGCCGACGGGCGUACCGGCAAGGGAAUGUCAGUACACCGGCUGCGCUCGGAGAAACUCACGGCAAACAUCUUUCGGACAGGAGUUCGAUUCUCCUCAUCUCCACCA